AGCCAUAGCCAUAUCACCCUGCAGCCCAAGACCGGUUACUCACUGAAGCUAAGCAGGGCUGAGCCUGGUCAGUACCUGAAUGGGAGACCAGUAGGGAAGGCUAGGUUGCUGUUGGAA
rnacentral:rRNA from 1 species